rnacentral:lncRNA from 1 species
GGAGUUCCUUGCUUAUUGCCUUCUCCUUUAUCUUCUAAAACCUUAUCUACCUCUUCUAGUUCUGAUGGAUUGCCCUCUUCUCUGAUGUUCAAAAUUAAGUUUAAAUUCUACUCUUCAGCACGUGGAAAGCAAGACCCCUGAGGGCGCAGGUUUUAGUCAACUUUCAUUCAGUGCCGCUUCUACAGAGUUGAACACUUUCCGGUACAUUAAAUGCUCUCGCUUUGUUAAAGAAGCCAAAACAAAACAAAACAAACAAACAAACAAACAAACAAAACUAAUGUGUUUGGAACCAGGACUUCAUUUGCUACUCUGCUGUAUCACAAUUUUACUAUUACAUUGUGUCCUUACUUUGCACUAUUGGACAAUAUGCCAUCAAAAAUAACUGAUUUAUUGAUUGAAUAUCUAAGAAGCAUAAAGAUGAUAUAAAUUUUUAUAUAGAAUGACCUAUCAUAAUAUCCUUUUUCCAUUUGGAGUUACAAAACCAAGUAUAUGAUUUCUUUUGAGGAUUUGAAGUACUUUUAUCCCAUAUGCAUAAUAUAUAAAAGUUAAUUUUGCAAAUUUUUGCUUCAUAAUAAUUAGUCAUUAUGUAUCUAAAUGAUAGCUAGAAAUAUGUAGAACUUUUAGUGAUGAUGAUUAUUUUUUACUUCUCUCUCCCUUCUUCUCUCUCUCUCUCUAACUCUCUGUCUCUGUCAUCAAAGCCAAAGUAUAUCAGUUUUGACAUGGCAGCUGUCCGGAGGGAUUUGCUCCCAAUCAUUUUGAUCUAACGUUCUUUGUCUAUGUGAUGACAAAGCAAUAGCAUGUUUUUCAUCAAAGGCAGGAAAUGCAUUAUUCUUUCUUUGAUCUCUAAAAAGGAUUUUGGGGUAGAAAGGUGAGAAGACAGACCUUAAAACAUUUCUUAAUGCUCUUAUCUAAAACUACACCACUUUAAUGAGAAAAGUUAAAUGUUUCUGAAAGCACAAUUCCAAAACGAAUAGGUCCUGAUUUUUAAAUUAAUUUUUAAAUCUUUAAAUUAAAAAAAAACACAAUUUCUCCCCUUUUAGAUGGGUAUGUAUCUCUACACCCCAAACUGGGGAUCCUUUACUCACUUUGACAUCUGAUACUGUAUUUUCAGCUUGAAAAUAAAUGAGAUCCUUGAAACUCACUACUAUCUCUUAAAAGGUGAUACCUUAUGUGUCCUUUUCUUCUGUCUUUCCUCUCACUUAGUUUGAAGCCCUGGUUGAACUAGGGAUUGUCUGUUCCAUUGCCUUCUUGUCUGUUCCAUGUCACCUUCAGUUUUCACCAUUGCACUCAUUUCUUCAGUUAGCUGACUUGAGUUUAGACCACAUUUUGCCUUGUACCCAAUUAAUUUCUUUUUCUUUUUCUUUUUCUUGCCGUGUGUAUAUGUGGGUGAAUGUGUGAGCUUGUGUCUGUGGGUAUAUCCCUUACCUGGUGAAUUCUCACUCUACUUCUCAACUCAGUUUUAAACACUUAAGGUUAGGUGCAACUUUUACUCUAUAUGUCAAGGAGAAGUUUUGAAAACCACAAAAAAGUUUUAAUUCUAUAAUUCGUUUAAUAUUUAUGUUGUGCAAUACACUACAGAAGCCAUUAUGAAAUGGAUCAUGUAUUUCUGGGCAAAACAGUUCCUUCAGGAAAACAUGACUUACAAGAUGAAACUAUAAUGCCAGGCAAUGGAUAGAAAGCAUCAUAUGUGUUCUAUAAAGUACCAAGGGGGGUUAGAUGAGGAGUAAAUAUUUUUUUAAAUCUUUAAGAUAACAAGUAGAUCAACAGGUAAGAGAAAUAUGAUGAACAACCUGAAGAGAAGUGAGAGUUUUAAAAAUAGGGAGUAUUUUUAAAUAGCUAAAUAUAUUGCAUCUAUAUGUAUAGUAUAGCUAAUGAGUUAAGUUGAGCAGGUCAUGAUGUUCCUUGAUUGCCAAGCAAAGACUUAUAAAGUUGAUUAGGCUAGCAAAAGGGAGCUUUAUGGUGAUGAAAAUUGUCACUUAUUCAGUUUAGCACUUUGAGGCUUUUGAUUUCAGAGUAUAAGCGUAUGAAGAGCAAAAAUAUUAGAGGCUAAGAAACCAGAUACAAGUGUUACUGGCAGUGAAUCCAUAUGGAUCUGCAGCAACCUCAAUUCUUGUAUCCUCAGAAGAAUUCAACCAAGGAGAAUAAGGCAGAGAGAGAGAGAGAGAGAGAGAGACCAAGGCAAGUUUUAGAGGAGGAGUGAAAGUUUAUUAAAAAGUUUUAGAUAGAGCAGGAAUGAAAUGAAGUAAGUACAUUUGGAAGAAAGCCAAGCCAGCGACUUGAGAGAUCAAGUGCACUUUUUGACUUUGACUUGGGGUUGUAUACGUCAGCAUGCUUCCGGGGGGUUGAGUCCCUUUGCCCUGAUUCUUCCCUUGGGAUCAGUUCUCUGAAUGUGCAGUGGCCUGCCAGCACUUGGGAAGGGCUGCAUGCACAGCGUUUUCUGAGUCUGUACACAUGCUUACUUGAGGCGUUUUUCUUUGACCAAUAGAAUGCCCCUAGAAGGUCAUAUACCAUUUGAACUCUGCCAUUUUUGCCUCUUAGUGCACAUGCAUGCGCCCACUUUCCCAGCUCCUGAGAUCUUAUUGGGAAGCUGCUGACCACCAGUUUCAGUUACAUGUUGCUGUUUAUUGAGAGACCGCCUUUCCCUGGCUCUGGCUGCAAACAGUUAUUAUUUCAGAGAGACAGUUAACAACCACCUGAGCAUCACCUGAUGGCUGUCUGCCACUCGUGUCCUGUUGUGUGUGUUGGGGGGUGGUGGGGAGCCCUGUCUUGCUCUGUUCAUGUCUGACUGGCUACCUACAGUGAAAAAAGAAUGUCAUGAUAAUCUAUGCAGGAUAUGACAACAGCCUGAUCCAUGGUAGAAAGAAGAUGUAAAAAAGGCCUGAGAAAUAUUUCAAAGUAAAUAUCAAAAGAACAACAGGUGGAAAAUAAGAAAAAUUAUGCCUUUGGAAUUCUGAGUCUGAAAACUAGGAUAAUGGUGGACCCAUGAAUAGAAUUUAAGAAAAGAACAAGUAAGCUAUGGAAGAUAGUGUCAUUCUUCUCAAUUUUUUUUCCUUCAGGUGUUGGAAUUUUUAUUUUUAUUUUAUUUUUUUCUUUUUAGACAGAAUUUCGCUGUUGUUGCCAGGCUGGAGUGCAAUGGCACAAUCUCGACUCACUGCAAGCUCCGCCUCCCUGGUUCAAGUGAUUCUCCUGCCUCAGCCUCCUGAUUAGCUGGGAUUAUAGGCAUGCACACCACGCUCGACUAAUUUUGUAUUUUUAGUAGAGAAGGGGUUUCUCCAUAUUGGUCAGGCUGGUCUUGAACUCCCAACCUCAGGUGAUCUGCCUGCCUCAGCCUCCCCAAGUGCUGAGAUUACAGGCAUGAGCCACCGUGCCUGGCCAGGUGUUAGAAUUUAUACUAAUUUUUUUCAGAACCUCCUUCUGAGGGUAGAGACACUUCCAAGCCAGGUGAAAGUGGGGUUUGACUUUGUGACUUGCUUUGGCAAUAGAUUGUGGGUGGAAAAUACCAAGAGAAAGUUCUCAGAUAAGGCCUUCACAGGCGUCAUGUGCUGCUCAUGCAUGCUGCAGUGCUCCUGUGAUCACCAUGAGAAGAGCGUGCCCUUUUAGCAUGGUCUGAUACCCUUUUACAAUGGUCUCUAAAUUCAGGCGUAUGAAGCAGAGUGGAGGAAAUCUAAAUCUUCCAAACUGAAAUGUAAAUGUAAGAGAGCUAUCCAAGCUCAUCUGCAGACCAAUAAGCAAGAAAAAGAAGUGCUUCUUUUAGUAAGUCCUUGUUUUAAGGUAAUUAGUCAUACUGCAUUAUUGAAGAAAUUGAUAAAUGAGUUCAUACUGAAUUUGAAGGUUUCAGAUGGAAAUAUAUUGAAAAUAAUUAAAAGGUUAAAAGAGAGUUAUGUCCUUGAGCUUACAGAUUUCAGAGUCAUGCUCAUAAAAUUUAUGGUUAAAGAGGAGACAGUAAAAAUCAAUAAAAUAAAAGGCUGACAAUUGAAUCAUUACUAUUAAUAGGACUAAGAAAAUGUAGUCAGUAAAGAAGAAAAAGAGAAAAAAUACUUUUGCAGCAUUCCCCAGUGGCAAACAGAAGUUCUAUUGAGAUAUGACCUUAGCUUCAAAUUCUAGGUCUGAAAUAUUUGACUUACAACCUCAAAUAAGUUACUAAAUGUCUAUUAGCAUGUUUUUUGUUUCAUCAGUAAAAUAGGAAUAAUAUUUAUUCUAUAUGGUUGUUCUAGAAUUUUAUAAUAUAUAUAAACUCUAGUGUAGUGACUGGCAUGAUAAUUUUUACUUAAACUUCAUUUUUGUCCAAUAGAUCUUUCUGUGAUUAAACUGUUUUAUAUCUGUACUAUAUAAUAUGGCAGCAGCUAACAAUAUGUGGGUAUUAAACAAUUAAAAUGUAACUACAUUGCAAGACUUUAAAUACAUGUAGAAUUUUAUAUAUGCAAUGAUAGCACAAAAAGGCAGUUUUAAAAUUUAAGUGUUCUAAAGUCAUUAAAUUUUUCAGUAUGUGGUAAAAGUACUAAUAUAUAUUGAGCUUUGAUAAAUCAAAAUGCAUUUUGAUUUUUAGGUAAUAACUACCAAGGGAUAAGUAAAAGGAGGUUUGACUUACAAAUUAAUGGAGGCAAUGAAACUUAAAAGUCACUAUUAUGGAAGGGUGAGGCCAGAGGAUCACUUGAGCCCAAGAGUUUGGGGUUACUUUGAGCCAUGAUUGCACCGUUUUACUCCAGCCUAGAUGACAGAGUGAGACCCUGCCUCAAAAAAUAAUAAAUAAACAGUAACAUUUUAAAAAAUUCAUUAAUGAACUAAAGAUAAGAAAAAAAACAAACAACAAAAAACCAGCAGGGAAAAAAAAAGCAAAGAAUAAAUACAUCAGUAUGUAAAUUAAAUGUAAAUGAAUUCAUUAUACCAAUUAAAAGACAAAGAUUAUCUGACCAACUGGAGACUUCUCAAAGAACUUAAAAUAGAACUACCAUUUGACCCAGCAAUCGUAUCACUAGAUACAUAUCCAAAGGAAAAUAAAUCAUUCUACAAAAAAGACACAUGCAGUCAGAUGUUCUUCAGAGCACUACUCACAAUAACAGACAUGGAAUUAACCUCGGUGCUCAUCAAGGGUGGAUUGAAUCAAGAAAAGUAAAGUGGCACAUACCCAACAUGGAAUAUGAUGCAGUCAUAAGAAACAACGAAAUCCUGUCUUUUGCAGCAACAAGAAAGCAGCAGAAACAAUCAUCCUAAGUGAAUUAACACAGGAACAGAAAACCAAAUACUGCAUGUUCUCACUUAUAAAUGGGACCUAAACACUGGGUAAACACGGACAUAAAUAUGGUAAAAAUGGUCACUGGGAACUACUAGAGGGAGGGGGGCAAGAGCUGAAAAACUGCCUAUUAAGUACUAUGCUCACUACAUGGGUGAUGGAAUCAUUUGUACCCCAAACCUCAGUGUCAUGCAGUAAAUUCAUGUAAUAAAUUUGUACAUGUAUCUCCUGAAUCUAAAAUAAAAAUUGAAAUUAUGUAUAUUUUUAAAAUACUUAAAUGAGCAAAAACAGUCUUGAAAACAAAAACAUUUGGAGAUUUCCCGACCUGAUUUCAAGCCUUCCUACAGUUUCAUAAAAAUUAAGACAGUGUAAUACCAAUGUAAAUAUAUUGAUCACAGAAGCAAGUAAAGUACAGAAAUAAUUGAGUCUCAACGACGGCAUCAAAGUAAUCCAAUGGGGUAAAAAAAAUUUUUUAACAAAUAGUGCUAAAAAAGUUUGAUACUUAGUCUUUUAUUUAAAAAAAAGAUAUUUGGCUCCUUAUUCCAUGCACAAAAUAUUAAUUUGAGACAAAUGAUAUGCCAAAAGAUAAUCACUAAAGCCAUAAAUGCUCUAGAAGAAAACUUAGGACACUAUCUUUCUUACUUUAAAUUGUCACAGAUUUUUUUAGGCAGAAUACACAGAAAUACUAACAACAAAAUAUUGAUAAUUUAGACUUCAUUAAAAUAUAAACGUCUGUGUUUUAAAAAAAUCACUAGAAAGUUAAUGGCAAGAUAGUCUGUUGAAAAUAUUCACAAUAUACUAGAUUUGACAAAAGACUCAUGCCCAGAAUAUAAAAAUAACCUAUUUAACUGUAAAGACAAUAUAAUAAAAAUAGUCAAAAUUCAAAAACAGAAGAUUAAAACUGGAAAAAAAGCAUAUUUAAAUAUGUUGAACAUCAUUGAUCAGUGGGUAAAUGCAAAUCAGUACCACCAUGAGAUAUCUCUUCAUUUCCUCUAGAAAUAAAAUUUAAAAGAAUGACAGCACAAAAUUGUUGGUAAGGAUAUGAAGGAGCUAGAACUCUCAUACAUUGCUUAUUGUAGAUCUAUUUGACCCAACAAUUCUCACCCAAAGAACUGAAAACCCAUGCCCACAAUAUUCUUAUACACAUGUUCAUAGCAUCUUUAUUCAUGAUAGUCCCAAAUUGAAACAACCCAAAUGUCUACCACCAGGAAUAUAAACAUCACUAAUAUGAUAUUAAACAAAAAUAGAAAAACAUGAAGAUAAAUUUUGUGUAGCAACAAAUAAUUUGUUGAGAGUAACAGCUGGAAAAGGAAAAGAGAGGAAGCAGGAUUGAGCAAAGGGAGUCCUCAGCGGAUGAUACAAAUCUGACUAAGCUUUGACCAACCCCGUGGGGCGCUCUAGAGCAAAGACUGGCAAUUAGUGCAACCCAGCUUUGAGUAGAAAUCACUUGGCCCUUGUACCACAAGCUUCUUCAGUAAUUGACUGAAGGAUAGUCCAAGAAAACUAUGUCCUUAAGCUACUGCCACCUGACUUAGUCAUUGUCUAGGGAUUGCCAAAUAUAGUGUGGCCUAGACUGAAAAGCCGAGACAGGCGAUGCAGAAGCUCACAACUAGAGGCUGGCAGCUAACCACAUUCCUUGCAGCUGGCAUGGAGCUCUUUCUGGAAGUGGUAUUUAAGCAACAC